rnacentral:rRNA from 1 species
GUAGGGCGCAAGCGUUAUCCGGAAUUAUUGGGCGUAAAGAGCUCGUAGGCGGUUUGUCGCGUCUGCUGUGAAAUCCCGAGGCUCAACUUCGGGUCUGCAGUGGGUACGGGCAGACUAGAGUGCGGUAGGGGAGAUUGGAAUUCCUGGUGUAGCGGUGGAACGCGCAGAUAUCAGGAGGAACACCGAUGGCGAAGGCAGAUCUCUGGGCCGUAACUGACGCUGAGGAGCGAAAGGGUGGGGAGCAAACAGGCUUAGAUACCCUGGUAGUCCACCCCGUAAACGUUGGGAACUAGUUGUGGGGUCCAUUCCACGGAUUCCGUGACGCAGCUAACGCAUUAAGUUCCCCGCCUGGGGAGUACGGCCGCAAGGCUA